CAGCCCCUGCAACGACUUGCAGAUAUGAGAACCGCAGGCAGUAUCUAAUACCCAAGAGUCUGAAUUGAAAGAACUUAAUGACAAAAUUGUAUGUAUCUCAUACAUACCUUUUGAUGCAUCGCUUGCACCUGCCUUUACAGUUGCAAGAUAUAAUUUGCAAUUUCUUUUUCAGUGUCCUGCCUUGCCGUAGUGAAAGCAGGUACCCUGUCC
rnacentral:lncRNA from 1 species